rnacentral:rRNA from 1 species
CCUACGUGUGGCAGCAGUGAGGAAUAUUGGUCAAUGGGCGAAAGCCUGAACCAGCCAUGCCGCGUGCAGGAAGACGGCUCUAUGAGUUGUAAACCGCUUUUGUACGAGGGUAAACACAGAUACGUGUAUCUGCUUGAAAGUAUCGUACGCAUAAGGAUCGGCUAACCCCGUGCCAGCAGCCGCGGUAAUACGGUGGAUCCAAGCGUUUUCCGGAUUUAUUGGGUUUAAAGGGUGCGGAGGCGGUUUAGUAAGUCAGCGGUGAAAUUUUGGUGCUCCACACCAAACGUGCAGUUGAUACUGCUAGGCUAGAGAGUAGUUGAGGUAGGCGGAAUGUAUGGUGUAGCGGUGAAAUGCUUAGAGAUCAUACAGAACACCGAUUGCGAAGGCAGCUUACCAAACUAUAACUGACGUUGAGGUACGAAAGCGUGGGGAGCAAACAGGAUUAGAUACCCCUGUAGUC